CCUACGGGAGGCAGCAGUGGGGAAUAUUGGACAAUGGGCGAAAGCCUGAUCCAGCCAUGCCGCGUGGGUGAAGAAGGCCUUCGGGUUGUAAAGCCCUUUUGUUGGGGAAGAAAUCCUGCUGGCUAAUACCCGGCGGGGAUGACGGUACCCAAAGAAUAAGCACCGGCUAACUUCGUGCCAGCAGCCGCGGUAAU
rnacentral:rRNA from 1 species